GAUGAACGCUGGCGGCGUGCCUAAUACAUGCAAGUCGAGCGAACAGACGAGGAGCUUGCUCCUCUGACGUUAGCGGCGGACGGGUGAGUAACACGUGGAUAACCUACCUAUAAGACUGGGAUAACUUCGGGAAACCGGAGCUAAUACCGGAUAAUAUAUUGAACCGCAUGGUUCAAUAGUGAAAGACGGUUUUGCUGUCACUUAUAGAUGGAUCCGCGCCGCAUUAGCUAGUUGGUAAGGUAACGGCUUACCAAGGCAACGAUGCGUAGCCGACCUGAGAGAGGGAUCGGCCACACGGGAACUGAGACACGGUCCAGACUCCUACGGGAGGCAGCAGUAGGGAAUCUUCCGCAAUGGGCGAAAGCCUGACGGAGCAACGCCGCGUGAGUGAUGAAGGUCUUCGGAUCGUAAAACUCUGUUAUUAGGGAAGAACAAAUGUGUAAGUAACUAUGCACGUCUUGACGGUACCUAAUCAGAAAGCCACGGCUAACUACGUG
rnacentral:rRNA from 1 species